AAAGGAGAAACUGUUUAUGGGAAUGGUUUUUUGAUAACUUCUUGUAGAAAAAACCUCCUCACGUCUCCUCUCAUCUCCUAGUGAUUUCCACAGAGAAAUGAGUUCUCUGUAAAUGCUCUCCAAAAAAAUCCAAUUCCCUCUGAUCUUUUUGAUUAGGUGAUUCCCACAAAUCGGUUCUUGCCAAGAACAUAGCAAGGAAAACCUCCUCAUCUUCUUCUCUCCAUUUCCAUAGAGAAAUGAGUUCUUUGUAAAUGCUCUCCAAAAAAUUCAAUUUCCUUUGUUCUUUUUUAGAAGGCGAUUCUUACAAACCGAUCCUUGUCAAAGAGAAUAGUAUGAAAGAUUUUUUUGGUGACAUCUUCUUACUAUUCGUGGGAGAUCGAUUACUGAAAAAAUGGAGAAGAUUUGAAGAAGUGUUCUUCAAAGAAAAUUUACUUCACAAAUUCACUCAAAUAUGAGUUCCACCAUUCAAAUUCAAGGUUGGAAUAGUAGAGAAGACCUCUUAGUGGUUCAUGGUUGAUUUGGAGUUGAAUUGGAGUGAAAAGUCACUUGGAAUCAGGAGAAUUCAUCAAAGGUAUGAAACUUGAAACCCUCUUGUGUAUUUUCUAAAAAUGCAACUUUAGAACUCAAAUUAAAUAAAAUUAGAGUGCUUAUUGAUUCCGUUUGCUUCUUUUGCAUACUUGUAUAUUUCGUCAGUUAUAUGUUUCAUGUUUAUGUAUUUUGCUGCAACUGAGUUUGAGAGGAGCCUAUCGAGCCUAGAAGACCAACUAUAGUGGCCAACACAAAAGAAAAACCUCUAGAUUGGCAGGAUUUUGUUGAUAUGACAAAAUUUAAUUGCGUGACUAUUUUCAUUUAGUUACGUGAUUUUUUUUUUGUUGGAUGUAUCUAUAUGACCCUUCAAAUUAGACGACCAACUCUCUAGAUCUUUAGACUUUAGAGCUUUAUGUAUAUAUUGCGUCCAAUAACUUGUUGAUAGGUUAGUUAAAAAAAAAUUCACUUUAUUUGUUGUGAAUUAGUUAAUUUUUGUGUUGUUUAAAGUUGAGUUGUAUAUAUAAUAGCAAUUAAUAUUUUAU